UGGUGUAGGCUGGCAGUUGCAGCUUUGCUUCAACCCCUAGCCUGGGAACUUCCCUAUGCCACAGGUGCAGCAGUAAAAAGAGAAGAAAGAAACUCAUCUCAGGUCGCUCAGCCAAAACCAAGAUUUGAAUCCAGGAAAAUUUCUCCCCUAAUCCAAGCUAUAGGAGUUUGAAUUCUGGGGGAUGCAGGGAUGUAAAGAAAGGGAAAAAGAGAUAUGGGUGCUUAAGCGAUAACUCAGAGGACUUGGAUAUGGAUUGAAACAAUGAGGGAAAACAAAGGAUACCCGAGUUCUCUAACUCGUUCACCUAGAGUGAGAUGUAGUGACAUUCGUGAGAAAGAGAGCAUUCUAAAGUUAGGUUUGGAGAUGACUGUAAGAAAUUUGGUCUUGGGCAUUUGGGGCCUGAGCUACCUUUGAGACAUCCAAGUGAAAAUUAAAGUAUUAGGAUGGAGUUCCCUGGUGGUUGAGCAGGUUAAGGACUGGCGUCACUGCUGUGGUUUGUUCACUGCUGUGGUUACAGGUUUGAUUCCCAGCCCUGGAACUUUUGUAUGCCACAGGCGCAGCCAAAAAAAAAAAAAAAAAAAAAAAAAAAAAUCAUUUGGCUACAUGGGUCUCAUGCUCAAAACAGAAGUUUGUAAGAGAGGAGAGUACAAAUGCAAGGGUCUUCUGCAAGGAAAGAAUUACUGACAGCAUGGUCAUGUCUACAGUCCCCCAGGAAGAUGCUCUCGAGCAGAGUGUUGGAAGUGUUCUGUAUUAUUAUGGCCCAAUACAAGAGCCAUCGCAUUCAAUGACUAGACUAAAGCAGAAGUGGCGUGGGAGAUGAAAACCAGAUGAAGGUAUUUUCACAGUAGGGUCAGCUGUGUUAACCUGGGCUGAGAGGUGGAGAAAGAUGGGAGGUGAAUAUAUAUUACAUAUAGUAACAUGUAUUAGCUAACAUUAUGAGAGGAUAAUGGGAGAAGGUACAAGGGUUCUAGGAAAGAGAAUCAAAGUAUGCAUGUGAAACUUCUAGAAACACUGUCAGGAGAGGUCUCCUGUCAUUCACUGUUAGCAAACACCAGACUUAGAGGCUAACUUGGAGAACAGACUUGUUGCAAGGGCCAUAAUGGAGGAGUAGCCCGAUCAUUUUGCUCACAUUCCCCUUUCGCCAAGAAGUCAGUCGUAGAACAUAUAUGUAUCAAUGUUCUCGGAACGAUAUGUUAAGUGUAUUUAGAAUUUUAGGGCUGUUGUUCCAAGCCUGUCAUCUCACAGAUGCUAAAAUGUCCUAAAAGGAAAUGAAAAUUUUUAGACUUGAAACUUUGUAUUUUGCAGCUUUAAAACAUGCGAGGUACAAAACCAUUUAGAGCCUUUAGCAUCACCUUUUUUUGUUUGAAAUUACAGUGAGUUAUAGUUCAAUAUGCUUGCUGUGCUCACGUGCUGCUGGGUUUUGUUUUCCUUUUUUACUAGCUAGAAGCAGAGUAUAGAUUAGGUAUUGGUAUUUCCCUUGAGGAAUUAAGUUGUUAUUUUAUCAUGAAAAAAAAAAUUACCCUAGAGCAGCUAGUGUGUGCCGUAAAUGUUAUAAUUUUGUUUUCUUAUCUAAGUCCAAUCACAUUCUUCUUAAAUUAAAAGUAUUAUAAAUAUUUAAGUCAGUCAUAGAAUUAAACAUUAAUCCAAAUCUAUGCUUUUUAUCUAAAUACUAAAUAAAUUAAUAUUUGUAAAUUAUGUCUUUCAAAAAAGAUGGCCAAAGAUUUUGUUGAAUUUAAAUCUUUUGUUUUGCUUAUGCAAGCAGUAAAUUCAUGACAAAUGCAUUUAAAAUAAUCACAUUAUGUCUUUUCUCGUACCCUGCUUCUACCUUUACAUGUGUUUGUCAAAAAGCAAAUCAAGGGGAGUUCCCAUCGUGGCGCAGUGGUUAACAAAUCCGACCAGGAACCAUGAGGUUGCGGGUUCGGUCCCUGCCCUUGCUCAGUGGGUUAACGAUCCGGCGUUGCCGUGAGCUGUGGUGUAGGUUGCAGACGUGGCUCGGAUCUCUCGUUGCUGUGUCUCUGGUGUAGGCCGGUGGCUACAGCUCCAAUUAGACCCCUGGCCUGGGAACCUCCAUAUGCCGCGGGAGCGGCCCAAGAAAUAGCAAAAAGACCAAAAAAAAAAAAGCAAAUCAAGGAAAUUACAUUCACCCAAAUUUUGUAUUGGAAAAGUUCUUUUCCGUCUGUACUAAUUUACUUCUAAUUCUGCAGGCUUUCAACAUUUGCAAACUUUAAAGUUCAAAAUUGUUACCAAAUAUGAAUGUGUUGGAGUUCCCGUCGUGGCUCAGCGUUAGCUCAGCGGUUAGCGAACCCGACGAGCAUCCAUGAGGACACCAGUGCUAUCCCUGGCCUCAUUCAGUGGGUUAAGGAUCUGGCGUUGCGGAGAGCUGUGGUGUCUGAGCGCUGCUCAGAUCCCGAGUUGCUGUGGCCUUGGUGUAGGCCAGCAGCUGUAGCUCCGAUUGGACUCCUAGCCUGGGAACCUCCAUAUACCUUUGGUGCAGCCCUAAAAGACAAACAGAC
rnacentral:lncRNA from 1 species